UGAAUCUGCGGAAGGAUCAUUG
rnacentral:rRNA from 1 species